UGGGUUGGGGGUGGAGGGCUACAACGUUGCUAGGAGACGUUUUUGUGUGACCCCAUCCUCGCGGGGGCGGCUCCGGGUCAGCGCCUCUGGCCAGUAUUAACCUGCCAGUAAGGGGAGGCCUGGUUUGGGGACGCUGGGCCGCCGGAUUGCCCCCCCUCUGAGACUGUUCUGAAUCCUUUGGAUCCCUUACUGUAAAUGGGAAAUUAGCAGGGGCAGUUCCAGAGGCGAGAAUGUUUAGCCCAGGAAGAUUGACCCAAACGGAACCCCGUACCGGCUGCAGAGAUUUUUUUUUUUUUCCCCCCCUAGGGUAGGGAGAACCGGCGUCGUAAGCCCCUCAGUCCUUUAAAGAGGGCUUCGCUCCAUGACUUUUUAUUCGAGUUCAGGAGAAAGUUAAAAAGUAGAUCAAUAGGGAAGAUAUUAGCAAGUGAGAAAUGCACCCAAAGACAGUAACACCAGGUGAAGUGGUAGAAGAUGGGGGGAGCGCCACUCUAAAUCGGGUAAGGCUGUUUCGAGAAAGCCAGGUUUUGCGGAGAUCCAAGAAAAGGGAGAACUGGCUAAAGAGGUUUCUAGGCGGAGAAAAAAGCCAGUAGGAAGUGUUCUGAGGAAGAAAAUGCAUGGCGGCCAGGUGGCUGGAACAGAGUGGUUUGUAAUGGACAAGUGGCAGGCCCAGAUCAAGCACAGCCUUUUAGCCCAAGUGCCCAGUAGGUGCAUGUGGCCAGUGGUCUCCCCCUUGAACAGCAUGCGUACAUAAUAUUUUCUGCUGGGGUCCAGCGUCCCCGAAGGAUGGAUGGUGCAGGCGACGAAUGGUAGAGGAGGAGCUGUUACUCCAUCAACUUUUAGAUUUUCAGGAAGAGGAGGAGCUGUUACUCCAUCAACUUUUAGAUUUUCAGGAGCUACUUCAUUAGGAGGGACUUUGUUCUCUGGCCAAGAAAUUAUUUUGUAUAACUUCAUUGGAAUUAUGCAGAUCAUUGGGAACUGAAAUGCAGGUGUCUAAAAAUCCCACUGCCUACUAAUCGCAAAAACAAACAUGCAAGGAGAGAUAGACAGGAAAUCCAGCCACAGUUGCUUCUGCUGUGCCGAUGCAUCUCAUCCAUCCUGACUGUGUCAAGGGACGCCUGCUGGUUGUCUCCCGACAAUUUUCAUCAUUCAAAAUGGAGCUAGAUGGUACUCUGGGUGCUCAUCAUUCCACGCAGCUGAAAGUGGACUAUCAUUGUUCCUACUCAAGGAAUUUUUGUGUGAGCCUCUCAGUUUAGCCUCUGUUUUCCCACUUUUGAAAUGAAGAUACAAAGAAUUAUGUUUCUACUUGAAGAAAAACUCUGGGCAAGCUGGUGUCCAGGACUGAGUAACAACCACUCCCGCAGCAACAGUUGCCAUACAAGAAUACGAAUGACCUCUCUACCUGAAUGAGCAUGCCAAGAGCCCAGUUAAUUCUGAUUCCCAAGUACCUGGAAGAAGGCCAGGCGGGCCAGCAUGU